UGGGGAAUAUUGGUCAAUGGGCGAAAGCCUGAACCAGCAAUGCCGCGUGAGUGAUGAAGGCCUUCGGGUUGUAAAGCUCUGUCGGAAGGAAAGAAAAAAGAGGAGUAACGCCCUCUAUUGACGGUACCUUCAAAGGAAGCACCGGCUAACUCUGUGCCAGCAGCCGCGGUAAUACAGAGGGUGCAAGCGUUGUUCGGAAUUACUGGGCGUAAGGCGCGUGUAGGCGGUUUUGUAAGUCGGACGUGAAAUCCCUUGGCUUAACCAAGGAAUUGCAUUCGAUACUGCUCAACUGGAGUGUCGGAGGGGAUGGCGGAAUUCCUGGUGUAGAGGUGAAAUUCGUAGAUAUCAGGAGGAACACCUGUGGCGAAGGCGGCCAUCUAGAAGACAACUGACGCUGAGACGCGAAAGCGUGGGGAGCAAACAGG
rnacentral:rRNA from 1 species